ensembl:lncRNA
GGGUAAUGUGGUAGGCAGGGUAUUAAUAUAGUAGGGGUAGGCAGGGUAUUAAUAUGGUAGGGGUAGGCAGGGUAUUAAUGUGGUAGGCAGGGUAUUAAUAUAGUAGGGGUAGGCAGGGUAUUAAUGUGGUAGGGGUAGGCAGGGUAUUAAUAUGGUAGGCAGGGUAUUAAUAUGGUAGGGGUAGGCAGGGUAUUAAUAUGGUAGGCAGGGUAUUAAUAUGGUAGGGGUAGGCAGGGUAUUAAUAUGGUAGGGGUAGGCAGGGUAUUAAUGUGGUAGGCAGGGUAUUAACAUGGUAGGGCUAGGCAGGGUAUUAAUAUGGUAGGCAGGGUAUUAAUGUGGUAGGGGUAGGCAGGGUAUUAAUGUGGUAGGGAAGGCAGGGUAUUAACAUGGUAGGCAGGGUAUUAAUAUGGUAGGGGUAGGCAGGGUAUUAACAUGGUAAGCAGGGUAUUAAAGUGGUAGGGGUAGGCAUGGUAUUAACAUGGUAGGCAGGGUAUUAACAUGGUAGGCAGGGUAUUAACAUGUUAGGGGUAGGCAGGGUAUUAACAUGGUAGGGGUAGGCAGGAUAUUAAUAUGGUAGGGUUAGGCAGGGUAUUAACGUGGUAGGGGUAGGCAGGGUAUUUGUAAUUGCUCAGUAAUCUCUGACCCAUGUCAUGAUGGUUUCGAGGGAGUUUGUCAUUGAGCCUGCUGGAGGUGGACGUCACAGUGUGGUCACUCACACACACACACACACACACACCCACGCGCACGCAGCUUCAAGCUCUUCAGUGCUACCAGGACACAACACCCUCCUCCCAUGGCUGCUGUGCCAUCUAUCUGUCUGUGAUUGUCAGGGUUGUGCCUGUACUCUGAGACCAGAUGACCAGGUAGACC